CCCCGGGAUUUUGAUUUUUUUGUGCCGGGUGUAGGGAGGAACGAUGUCGGCCAGGCGUAAUACAUGCAAGUCGAAGAGGACAGCAUAACGGGAGCAAUUCAGUUGGAUGGCGACCGGGCAAUCGGGGUACGGAAACACGUACAGACCCUUCCGUUGGAGCGGGGAAUAGCCCCAGGAGAAAUUUGGAUUAUACCCCCAUAGCAUAACCGGAGUGGCAUCACUUUGUUAUUAAAGAUUUAUCACUGAAGAAUGGCUGUGCGGCUGAUUAGGUAGUUGGCGGGGUAACGGCCCACCAAGCCUGCGAUCAGUAACUGGUGUGAGAGCACGACCAGUCACACGGGCAAUGAGACACGGGCCCGACUCGUACGGGAGGCAGCAGUAAAAGAAUAUUGGUCAAUGGACGAAAGUCUGAACCAGCCAUGCCGCGUGGAGGAUGAAGGCCCUCUGGAUUGUAAACUUCUGUUAUAUGGGACGAAAAAAGGCUUUUCUAAGUCGUCUGACGGUACCAUAUGAAUAAGCACCGGCUAACUCCGUGCCAGCAGCCGCGGUAAUACGGAGGGUGCAAGCGUUAUCCGGAUUCACUGGGUUUAAAGGGUGCGUAGGUGGGUUGGUAAGUCAGUGGUGAAAUCUCCGAGCUUAACUUGGAAACUGCCAUUGAUACUAUCAGUCUUGAAUAUUGUGGAGGUUAGCGGAAUAUGUCAUGUAGCGGUGAAAUGCUUAGAUAUGACAUAGAACACCAAUUGCGAAGGCAGCUGGCUACACAUAUAUUGACACUGAGGCACGAAAGCGUGGGGAUCAAACAGGAUUAGAUACCCUGGUAGUCCACGCCCUAAACUAGGGAUACUCGACAUACGCGAUAAACUGUGUGUGUCUGAGCGAAAGCAUUAAGAUCCC
rnacentral:rRNA from 1 species